ensembl:lncRNA
CUUUAUUAAAGCAAAAAUAAAGGCCGACAUAUCCUCAACAUAACCAUGUAUAAUAUCCACAAAACUUAAAAAGAGGUUAUACACACACAAUACGGUAAUAUUAUGUUGAAGCACAGUAUGUAUCACUCCGCGAGGCUCCUGCCUACGAUAGCCGUAAUGCUCCGACAAUCCAUCAAGCGGUGAGCGACGUGUACAUAAAAUCGUUUCGAGGGAUGAAAUGAUGGACCACACUCCCUGCAUCAUGACUGUAAGCUCUCUGCACAGCAUCCAUGAUAAACACAGACAGCAAAGAAGACAGCAUCUUCCUCCACAGAUGAACACAGAGGGCUAUAACACUGUAACACUACAGAUCUGUGUCCUGGUCACGUGUGCAACUGGUGUUCGUGUGUCAGUCUCUGGGUGUGUCUGCAGUGUGCUGCUGCAUGUGUCUGACUGAG